rnacentral:lncRNA from 1 species
AUGGCUGGAGUUCUGUGCUCAGUAUUUCAGAGGCCUCCAGGCAGACUACAGACUAUGAAAAAAGGUGCAGAAUCUCUCAUCUGUACAGAGUGGAUUUGUCACAAAUUUACCAGAUCAAGAAUUCCAGAUAAAGUGUUUCUGCCUAAGCCUGAAUAUCAUGAAAAAUACGGUGGGGACCCCCCAGAACCCUCAUAAACUGCACAUUGUUACAAGAAUAAGAAGUACAAAGAGGCGUCCAACUGGGAAAGGAUACCAUCAGAAUGCUCGGAUUACAGAAGGCACACAGCCCUCAAAUUCACAAGAACAUUCUGUCAGUGAAUGCAAAGCUGAAAGAGGUUAAACCCUUGAUACACGUCCAGCCCCUGAAGCUGCCACAGGGACUUCCCACAGAAGAGACCAUGUCCAGCAUGUGCCUCAAGGGCACUGAGGAGUUGGUCGUGUAGUGGCAUCUGAAGCCUGUGGAGCAGGAAGCGAAGUCCUGA